GUCUACAGCCAUACCACCCUGAACGCGCCCGAUCUCGUCUGAUAUCGGAAGCUAAGCAGGGUCGGGCCUGGUUAGUACUUGGAUGGGAGAAUUCCUUACUAGUCGUAGUUC
rnacentral:rRNA from 1 species